rnacentral:rRNA from 1 species
AACGAACGCUGGCGGCAGGCCUAACACAUGCAAGUCGAGCGCUGUAGCAAUACAGAGCGGCGCACGGGUGAGUAACACGUGGGAACGUGCCCUUUGGUUCGGAAUAACUCAGGGAAACUUGAGCUAAUACCGGAUGAGCCCUAACGGGGAGAGAUUUAUCGCCGAAGGAGCGGCCCGCGUCGGAUUAGCUAGUUGGGGGGGUAAUAGCCUACCAAGGCAACGAUCCGGAGCUGGUUUGAGGGAACGACCAGCCACACUGGGACUGAGACGCGGCACAGACUCCUCGGGGAGGCGGCAGUGGGGAAUCUUGGACAAAGGGGGAAACCCUUAUCCAGCCAUGCCGCGUGAGUGAUGAAGGCCCUAGGGUUGUAAAACUCUUUCGGCGGGGACGAUAAUGACGGUACCCGCAGAAGAAGCUCCGGCUAACUUCGUGCCAGCAGCCGCUGUAACAC